UACCGUAAUUUCCAGACUAUAAGCCGCUACUUUUUUCACACGCUUUGAACACUGCAGCUUAAACAAUGCUGCGGCUAAUUUGUGGAUUUCUACGAUUUUUGCGAAUUUGCUUCGAGACGAAAGUGAGAGCAACAACGAAAGAGAGACUGAGGAAGUGUGUGGCGAAGUAAUUCUGAGGCUGUUUAAAUCUGCCAU